UAGGGAAUCUUCCACAAUGGGCGAAAGCCUGAUGGAGCAACGCCGCGUGUGUGAUGAAGGGUUUCGGCUCGUAAAACACUGUUGUAAGAGAAGAAUGGACAUUGAGAGUAACUGUUCAAUGUGUGACGGUAUCUUACCAGAAAGGAACGGCUAAAUACGUGCCAC
rnacentral:rRNA from 1 species